rnacentral:lncRNA from 1 species
AGAACUGAGCCGUUUUCUUCCGUUCCUGUUCGUGGAACAGCCCCGGAUUCGGGCCAGUUCCACCUCUCUGUGGUGCAGGGCUGGUUACCUGCAUCACGGGAUAUUGCUUCUGCUGCACCUUUAUAAAGGAUUUCCUCCUGUUAAUUAAACCCAUCCGCUGUGUUUGGGUGCAGCCGGGGUUUCUUCUGCCUUCCAGCCAGAGCUAAAAUGAUGUUUGUUUUCUGAUGGCAACUCCCUGCCCCGCCAGUUCAUCAUCCUCCGCCUUCGUGACAGGCUCCGUCUGGGAUUGCCCAGGUAUUCCUCCUCGGGAGAAGGCGAUGUCUUUCGUUCCAUAGCGGGUCUGCGGAAGGCUGCAGCAGUUCCAGUCCUGGGGAGGCCCCAUGCUGCUUCUCCCUCGCCCACUCUCGAAAGGCGUCCCUGUGUCUUUUUCAUGGCAGCUGCUGGUGGCACGGCCUGCCCGCUUGAAAUCGACUUGCUGGCCUCCGUCCCCACCUUGCUCUGAUCUCG